GUGGGUCAAGGGAUUCUUUGCCUGGUGUCCCUGUUGCAAUCAGACAGAUCAGGCUGGGAAUGGAAGAAAUGAAAACCAAUUUUUCUGUCCAAUAUUCAGAAGAGAACGUCAGCUUUAACUCUCCAAACUGAAUGCAAGUAUAUUUGAGGGAUACACACCAAAAGAAACUGAAAAAAAAAAAGUCAACUGCAAUGCUAGAUCACAUGGUUUGACCCAUGUAUUUCUUUCAAAUUAUGGUUUAGAUGCUGUUUCAGCAAGUUUCUCCUGACUUUGUCAAGACACAUUCAGCAAGUGAAUGAAAGAGCUCAGAACAGCUUAUGGCACCAUCCAUCACCUUUACUAGCCAAGUGUCACUGACAAAAGAAUGUCACAGAAACUGAUUUAAUAUCUGGGCAAAGAAAAUGAAGUAAACAACUGUCCUACAGAGCAGAGAAUCCAUGCUGUACAAAAUACCCUGCUUUCCACUGCAGCACUAAGGACUUGCAACUAGCAUUGCUUGAAGCUGUAUUCCUUAUGUCAUGCCUAACGAAUGAUUGCUGUACUGGUAUAUUCUGUGAGGAAAUAGACAGAUAUUAAAAAGAUAAAAAGCAAUUACUUCAUUAAUAGCAAGAAAUAAGACUAUCCAUUGCACCCCCAUAUAUCUUGGCUAAUGUCUGGAGAAUUAUGUUGACUGCUCCAUACUGUAAAUCUAGGGGGACCAGCAUAACAACUCUAUGGGGACAGAUACCUCCUAAUAAUUUUCUAGGUAGGAUGCAAAGCCAGGGUUCUGUUUUGGUGUAGGAUUAAAGUUGGAGAUAGAUAUACAUAAUUUAUUGCUAGAUCCUGCCAGAUACACAGAGUCGGAAUGCAUAUUCUAUAUAUGGGAGAGUAGAGCUCUCAGCUGUUUGUUGAGCUGAUGUCUGGGUCCCUUCUGUGAUUGCAGUUUGGGUUGUGAUAAGACUUAAGAAGGGUUAU